AUUGAACGCUGGCGGCAGGCCUAACACAUGCAAGUCGAGCGGAGCGGCGGACGGGUGAGUAAUGCAUAGGAAUCUGCCUGCUAGAGGGGGAUAACGGCCGGAAACGGGCGCUAAUACCGCAUACGAUCAGACGAGCGCAGUUUGGAUUAGCUAGUUGGUGGGGUAAAGGCCUACCAAGGCGAAGAUCCGUAACUGGUCUGACGGGAUGAUCAGUCACACUAGGACUGAGACACGGUCCAGACUCCUACGGGAGGCAGCAGUGGGGAAUAUUGGACAAGGGGCGAAAGCCUGAUCCAGCCAUGCCGCGUGUGUGAAGAAGGUCUUCGGAUUGUAAAGCACUUUAAGUUGGGAGGCGUUACCAACAGAAUAAGCACCGGCUAACUUCGUGCCAGCAGCCGCGGUAAUUC
rnacentral:rRNA from 1 species